UACGGGGGGGGCUAGCGUUGUUCGGAAUUACUGGGCGUAAAGGGCGCGUAGGCGGUCUGCUAAGUUGGAUGUGAAAACUCUGGGCUUAACCCAGAGCCUGCAUUCAAUACUGACAGGCUAGAGUUCUGGAGGGGAUAGCGGAAUUCCUGGUGUAGCGGUGAAAUGCGUAGAUAUCAGGAGGAACACCGGUGGCGAAGGCGGCUAUCUGGACAGAAACUGACGCUGAGGCGCGAAAAGCUAGGGGGAGCAAACAGG
rnacentral:rRNA from 1 species